AACGAACGCUGGCGGCAGGCUUAACACAUGCAAGUCGAACGCCCCGCAAGGGGAGUGGCAGACGGGUGAGUAACGCGUGGGAACAUACCCUUUCCUGCGGAAUAGCUCCGGGAAACUGGAAUUAAUACCGCAUACGCCCUACGGGGGAAAGAUUUAUCGGGGAAGGAUUGGCCCGCGUUGGAUUAGCUAGUUGGUGGGGUAAAGGCCUACCAAGGCGACGAUCCAUAGCUGGUCUGAGGGGAUGAUCAGCCACAUUGGGACUGAGACACGGCCCAAACUCCUACGGGAGGCAGCAGUGGGGAAUAUUGGACAAUGGGCGCAAGCCUGAUCCAGCCAUGCCGCGUGAGUGAUGAAGGCCUUAGGGUUGUAAAGCUCUUUCACCGGAGAAGAUAAUGACGGUAUCCGGAGAAGAAGCCCCGGCUAACUUCGUGCCAGCAGCCGCGGUAACAC
rnacentral:rRNA from 1 species